AAGGAAGAGAUGCAACAUUUAAGUGGGCUAGAGACCGAGGGGUGGAUUUAACUAUGGACGCUAUUGCACAGGUUAUUCAUGACUGUGACACAUGUACCACAAUUAAAAAAGCCAAGAGGACGAAACCUCUCUGGGGAGAAGGGCAAUGGCAAAAGUACAAAUAUGGGGAGGCGUCACCUUGCCACGAUCUCGCAGUGAUAAGCAUUAUGUGCUCACCAUGGUGGAGGCAACCACUGGGUGGCUUGAAAACAUACGCAGUACUCCAUGCUACUGCCCAAAACACCAAAUUAGGUCUCAAGAAAGAAGUCCGAUGGCUACAUGGCACACCAGAAGUCAGAUAAUGGGACUCAUUUCAAAAACUCCCUUGUAAAUACUUGGGCCAAAGAUCAUGGCAUUGAGUGGAUUUAUCAUAUCCCCUGUCACGCACCAGCCUCUGGUAAAAUUGAACAAUACAAUGGGGUGUCAAAAACUGUUGAAAGCAAUGGGUGGCAGAACAUCUAAGCAUUGGGAGAAGUAUUUGGCAGAAGGUACCUGGUUGGUAAACACUAGAGGAUUGGUCAGUCAUGAUGGUCCUGCCAGCUCCCUACAUACUGUCAAGGGAGAUAAGGUCCUUGUAGUACAUGUAAAGAACAUGGGGAAAAACAUUUUGGGUCUUUCCAGCUUCUGGGAAGGGAAAACCUCUUCGUGGAACUGUUUUUGCCCAGAGACCUGGGUCCACUUGGUGAGUGAUGCAGAAAGAUGGGGAUGUUCGUUGUGUACCACAAGGGAAUCUGAUGUUGGGGGAGUGCAGCCAGUCAUUCCAUGUGUGUGUGUGUGUGUGUGUGUGUGUAUAUAUAUGUAUGUAUGUAUGUGUGUGCAUGAGUUUAAUGCUUGUUAAUUAUUGUUUUUUGUUUGUAUAUAUUAAGCAUGAUGUAGUGAUGUAGAAUAAGGGGUGGAAUGUUACGGUUUUAUGAUUUUUGGUUGUCAGUAUUCCAUAUCAUAACAUGAUGUAGUGUACUGGGAGUUAAAGAGUUAAUGCUCCAGUUCCAGGUACGUGUCCCAGAAGAGAAGAAGAACUACAUACCCCAGAGGACUUUGCAUUCAGAGAGGCGGUAUAACCCCUGCCUGUGUGCCCCAGCUUUCCUCUGAGGACCACUGUGGUGCCUGGCCCACAACAAGUGCUGCAUGAGAGCUGCAGCGUGAGAGCUGCUCUGGCCAGAUGCAGCCAUGUCAUCACCAGCUUUCAUCAGCCCCAGCUCUGCUGUCACCAUGGUUCUGGAAGUGCUCAGGUCACCUCGCUCCCGGUUGUUCUGACACAAAAGCAACAAGACACCGAAGGCUGCCUUGACAAAAAGAAGCUGAAAUCCUACAGAAGGGCAAAUAGCGCAAAAGGGGGGCCCCUCCGCUGCUGUCAACCUGUGUUAUGGCUCGACAGAUCCUGCCUUGUGAUUCUGCCCAGUGAGGAUGCCCCGUGGCAUAAGCUCACCAUAUGACUGCACGCUGUGCACAUUGAGGUACCAGCUCUGAAGCACAAGGACGCUGCUGCUUUAUUGGAGAUCAAUUAUUGUCUUGAUAAGAAACAACAUACCAAUCAUCCAAAAUGGAAAUGUGGUAAAUCUUGCAUAAAUCUAUUCCUCCCGAAAUGAGCAUAGAUGAAAAAAAUAUAUGUACAUAUAAAUACGUAAGUCAAUAAGAGCUGAUAUGAUGCAUUUACCUAAAGUUAAUUUUGACUGUGGAACAUACCUUCGUAUUUUUCUGACUGCAUACUUGUGAUUACAGUAUAUACACACAGAUUAAAGAUUUCUGCAAAAUCUAAGAAGAGGAUCCACACCAGGGUGCUGAUCUUUCAGCCUACACUCCAAUACAAGCCUGGACCCAUGAUCAACUCACUCUACUCACCCUUCGCCCAUUUGCACUUCAG
ensembl:lncRNA